AAUUAACUCAAAAAUUUUUCUAUUAAUUUAAUAUACAAAAAUUCUCUGUCUAUCCAUUAAGAAAUAAUAGAAAAUUGUAUCAGGAUACAACACAAUAGCAUACGCCUGCAUAUGUGUAUAUGAAAUCAACGCGUACGUGUUAAUAAAAUAUUCAUAAUGUAAACAAAGCUGCUCUAAACCCAAACUCACUUCAAUAUGCGUCCAUCAACACAGUAUACGCUUCAAACGCAGCCGAAGCGCCGCAGGCCACAUUUAUAUUGCAAAAAUCACUGCCGGAAACUUCACAAGUAAUGCGAAAAAAAGUCAAACAGAAUCCAAUAAAAUCGACAGAGAGUAAACAAAUGACAACUAUUUACGGAAAUAAAAAAAAAAUAUUUUUACCAAAUUAAUGCUGAUCUUU